AAACCGGAGCUAAUACCGGAUAGUUCCUUGAACCGCAUGGUUCAAGGAUGAAAGACGGUUUCGGCUGUCACUUACAGAUGGACCCGCGGCGCAUUAGCUAGUUGGUGAGGUAACGGCUCACCAAGGCGACGAUGCGUAGCCGACCUGAGAGGGUGAUCGGCCACACUGGGACUGAGACACGGCCCAGACUCCUACGGGAGGCAGCAGUAGGGAAUCUUCCGCAAUGGACGAAAGUCUGACGGAGCAACGCCGCGUGAGUGAUGAAGGUUUUCGGAUCGUAAAGCUCUGUUGUUAGGGAAGAACAAGUGCAAGAGUAACUGCUUGCACCUUGACGGUACCUAACCAGAAAGCCACGGCUAACUACGUGCCAGCAGCCGCGGUAAUACGUAGGUGGCAAGCGUUGUCCGGAAUUAUUGGGCGUAAAGGGCUCGCAGGCGGUUUCUUAAGUCUGAUGUGAAAGCCCCCGGCUCAACCGGGGAGGGUCAUUGGAAACUGGGAAACUUGAGUGCAGAAGAGGAGAGUGGAAUUCCACGUGUAGCGGUGAAAUGCGUAGAGAUGUGGAGGAACACCAGUGGCGAAGGCGACUCUCUGGUCUGUAACUGACGCUGAGGAGCGAAAGCGUGGGGAGCGAACAGGAUUAGAUACCCUGGUAGUCCACGCCGUAAACGAUGAGUGCUAAGUGUUAGGGGGUUUCCGCCCCUUAGUGCUGCAGCUAACGC
rnacentral:rRNA from 1 species